GACGAACGCUGGCGGCGUGCUUAACACAUGCAAGUCGAACGGAAAGGCCCUGCUUUUGUGGGGUGCUCGAGUGGCGAACGGGUGAGUAACACGUAAGUAACCUGCCCUUGACUUUGGGAUAACUUUAGGAAACUGGGGCUAAUACCGGAUAGGAGCUCCUGCUGCAUGGUGGGGGUUGGAAAGUUUCGGCGGUUGGGGUUGGACUCGCGGCUUAUCAGCUUGAUGGAGAGGUAGUGGCUUACCAAGGCGUUGACGGCUAGCCGGCCUGGGAGGGUGACCGGCCACAGUGGGAUAGAGAUACGAGCCAGACUCCUACGGGAGGCAUCAGUGGAAGAUUGUGCGCAAAGGGCGGAAGCCUGAUGCAGCGACGCCGCGUGCGGGAGGACGGCCGUCGGGUUGUAAACCGCUUGCGCCUGGGACGAAGCGUGAGUGACGGUAAUGGGUAAAGAAGCACCGGCUAACUACGUG
rnacentral:rRNA from 1 species